AACUCACAAUUCUGUCAACAUUCAUGUUGCUGAAUUGUUUCCAGAAAAGAGCCUCCCGUUUCCCUACAGCUCAGACAUGAUGGCCAUCUUCCUCUCUGUAUUUGUGACAAUGUUCACACUCAGAGGAAUAGGAGCUCAGAAAGUGACCCAGCCCGAGGACCACAUCUCUGUCUUCAAAGGGGACCCAGUGCAGGUCAAGUGCAACUACUCAUAUUCUGGGAGUCCUGUGCUCUUCUGGUAUGUCCAGUACCCCAAACAAGGCCUCCAGUUACUCCUGAAACACAUCUCAGGAGGAAGUGUCAAAGGUUUCACAGCCAGUCUUAACCAGCGUGAGACGUCUUUCCAUCUGAAGAAACCGUCAGCUCAAGAGGAAGACUCAGCCAUGUAUUACUGUGUUCUGAGCGGUUCAGGCUGGCAACUGACCUUUGGAUCCGGGACCCAGUUGACUGUUGUACCUGCUAUUCAGAACCCUGACCCCGCCGUGUACGAGCUGAAAAGUUCUAAAUCCAAUAACACCUUUGUCUGCCUGUUCACCGAUUUUGAUUCACGAGACGAUGUAGAACAAGCCAGAGAGUCCAACAUGACUAGAUUGGCAGGUACUGUGCUGGACAUGAAGACUAUGGAUUCUAAGAGCAAUGGGGCCGUGGCCUGGAGCACCAACUUUGAUUUGGGAUGCAGGAGUACCUUCAACCAGACCUUCCACUCCAGCUCGGAAUUUUCCUGUGAUGCCAAUCUGGUAGAGAAAGGCUUUGAAACAGAUAUGGACCUAAAUCUCCACAACCUGAUAGUGAUUGGGCUCCGUAUCUUCCUCCUGAAGGUGGUUGGCUUUAAUCUGCUCAUGACGCUGAGGUUGUGGUCCAGCUGAGGUCACCAAGAAUGUGAGAGCCCAGCGCUCCCCUGCUCCCGCCGCACCUCCUCCCCCUCUUCAAGCAGAGAGGCACACUCCUGCCACCAUGGAGAAGAAGGUUCCCUCCGCCUCUCUGGUCCCACUGGCAAUGCCACUGACCAGAUCCUGUCAGAUGUUUGUGAUCAAGAUGCUGAAGAGCUGCCAAACACCGCUACGACCCCCUCUGUCCCCUCAUCGCUGCUUGUCACUGCCUGACACUCCCGGCAAAGGCAUGGGGCUACUGUGGCCUCACCUGGCUGGGGAGAAACUCCCCAACCUUCCCCUGAGACUGCCCAUAUGUCCCCUGUUUGAGGGAUCCCCAGUGGGUCCUCUUGGGCUCUAGCUCCUGGAGAAUGUUGUGAGGAGUUUAUAUGUUUUAAAUAAUGUUCAUAAAGGAAUAACACAUUACACUUUUCCCCAAGAUGUGGGGAAAAUUAUUAUCUAGACCCUGCUGUGCUGUGUAUCUGAGCCACAUUGUAUAUUCUGCUGCCUAUGACUUCAUUAAAGGUGAUUGAAAGAGCA